UACGUAGGGUGCAAGCGUUGUCCGGAAUUAUUGGGCGUAAAGAGCUCGUAGGCGGUUUGUCGCGUCGGCUGUGAAAACCUGGGGCUCAACCCCGGGCCUGCAGCCGAUACGGGCAAAACUAGAAUUCGGUAGGGGAGACUGGAAUUCCUGGUGUAGCGGUGAAAUGCGCAGAUAUCAGGAGGAACACCGGUGGCGAAGGCGGGUCUCUGGGCCGAUAUUGACGCUGAGGAGCGAAAGCGUGGGGAGCGAACAGG
rnacentral:rRNA from 1 species